UGAGUUAUGUCAUGUUAUCGAUAUGUGAAUACAUAGCAUAUCAGAAGGCACACCCGGAGAACUGAAACAUCUUAGUACCCGGAGGAAGAGAAAGAAAAUUCGAUUCCCUUAGUAGCGGCGAGCGAAAUGGGAAGAGCCCAAACCAACAAGCUUGCUUGUUGGGGUUGUAGGACACUCUAUACGGAGUUACAAAGGACGACAUUAGACGAAUCAUCUG
rnacentral:rRNA from 1 species